rnacentral:rRNA from 1 species
UACGUAGGGGGCGAGCGUUGUCCGGAUUUAUUGGGCGUAAAGAGCUCGUAGGCGGUCUGUCACGUCGGAUGUGAAAAUCCAGGGCUUAACCCGUGCUGCAUUCGAUACGGGCAGCUAGAGUUGUGAGGGGAGAUCGGAAUUCCUGGUGUAGCGGUGAAAUGCGCAGAUAUCAGGAGGAACACCGGUGGCGAAGGCGGAUCUCUGGGCCAUUACUGACGCUGAGGAGCGAAAGCGUGGGGGAGCGAACAGG